rnacentral:rRNA from 1 species
CGGCUCAGUAACACGUGGACAACCUACCCUAUGGAGGGGGAUAACCCCGGGAAACUGGGGAUAAUACCCCAUAGACUAUAGAUGCUGGAAUGCUUUGUAGUUGAAAGGUCCGCCGCCAUAGGAUGGGUCUGCGGCCGAUUAGGUUGUUGUUGGGGUAACGGCCCAACAAGCCUGUAAUCGGUACGGGUUGUGGGAGCAAGAGCCCGGAGAUGGAUUCUGAGACACGAAUCCAGGCCCUACGGGGCGCAGCAGGCGCGAAAACUUUACAAUGCGGGAAACCGUGAUAAGGGAACUCCGAGUGCCCGUAAAAUCGGGCUGUCCAUCUGUUUAAAUAACAGGUGAAGAAAGGGCCGGGCAAGACCGGUGCCAGCCGCCGCGGUAAUACCGGCGGCUCGAGUGGUGGCCACUAUUACUGGGCUUAAAGCGUUCGUAGCUGGUCUGUUAAGUCUCUGGGGAAAUCUACUGGCUUAACCAAUAGGCGUCUCAGGGAUACUGGCGGACUAGGGACCGGGAGAGGUGAGAGGUACUCCAGGGGUAGGAGUGAAAUCCUGUAAUCCUUGGGGGACCACCUGUGGCGAAGGCGUCUCACCAGAACGGCUCCGACAGUGAGGGACGAAAGCUGGGGGAGC